CCUACGGGGGGCAGCAGUGAGGAAUAUUGGUCAAUGGACGAGAGUCUGAACCAGCCAAGUAGCGUGAAGGAUGACUGCCCUAUGGGUUGUAAACUUCUUUUAUAUGGGAAUAAAAUGUUCCACGUGUGGGAUUUUGUAUGUACCAUAUGAAUAAGGAUCGGCUAACUCCGUGCCAGCAGCCGCGGUAAUACGGAGGAUCCGAGCGUUAUCCGGAUUUAUUGGGUUUAAAGGGAGCGUAGGUGGAUUGUUAAGUCAGUUGUGAAAGUUUGCGGCUCAACCGUAAAAUUGCAGUUGAAACUGGCAGUCUUGAGUACUGUAGAGGUGGGCGGAAUUCGUGGUGUAGCGGUGAAAUGCUUAGAUAUCACGAAGAACUCUGAUUGCGAAGGCAGUUCACUGGACUGCAACUGACACUGAGGCUCGAAAGUGUGGGUAUCAAACAGGAUUAGAUACCCGUGUAGUC
rnacentral:rRNA from 1 species